rnacentral:rRNA from 1 species
AGGAUGAACGCUAGCGGCAGGCUUAAUACAUGCAAGUCGUGGGGCAGCGCAGGUAGCAAUACUGGGCGGCGACCGGCAAACGGGUGCGGAACACGUACACAACCUUCCUACAAGUGGGGAAUAGCCCAGAGAAAUUUGGAUUAAUACCCCGUAACAUAUAGAGAUGGCAUCAUCAUUAUAUUAUAGCUUCGGCGCUUGUUGAUGGGUGUGCGGCUGAUUAGAUAGUUGGCGGGUAACGCCACAAGUCUACGAUCAGUAGCUGAUGUGAGAGCAUGAUCAGCCACACGGCACUGAGACACGGG